CCGUCAGCUGUGGCGGCGAAUUGUAGUCUCGAGAAGCGUCUUCACGGUGGAUCCUGCCUGCCUAAGUUGCUUGGAACAGCACAUCAGAGAGGGUGACAAUCCCGUUCGUGGCAGGCGGGGCCGCUCACGAUACGCUUUCCAUGAGUCGGGUUGCUUGGGAAUGCAGCCCAAAAUUGGUGGUAGACUCCAUCUAAAGCUAAAUACUGGCACGAGACCGAUAGCGAACAAGUACCGUGAGGGAAAGAUGAAAAGAACUUUGAAAAGAGAGUUAAAAAGUGCGUGAAACCGUUAGAGGGGAAGCGGAUGAAGUUAGCAAUGCCCCCGCGAGACUCAGGUGGAUGGCAUACCUCUGGAUGCGACGCGUGGCUGACGGAUCCGAAUGGACUGUCGUUACGUGGCCGUUCCAGCCAGCCGCCGCACUUCUCGUGCUGGGGCGCGUCAACAACUGCUGGACGACAGGGGGGCUAGACGGCACUCGCAGCGAAAGGUAGGCGUCUUACUAUGACUCGGCUACUUUGCGGUGGUCGAGGAGAUGCUGUUAUAGACGCUGUUGUGUCCCAGCUCCAGUCUGGCAGAGGCUAGCUAGCGGUGUGUGCUCGCAACUUCGGUCGUGGGCUGGCAUCCUGCUGCGUGUUCUUGUAGUCGUCAGCUGUGCACUGCUUGCAGUUCACUUCAGACGGUGAAAAGGCGCGUGCAGUGUAUGCACACUAUGUGCACCAUGGUUGUUGGCGGCCAUAUGGCUUCUUCCGACCCGUCUUGAAACACGGACCAAGGAGUCUAACAUGUGCGCGAGUCUUGGGGUGACCGAAACCCAGAGGCACAAUGAAAGUGAAGGCCGCCGUGCAAGGGCACUGCUCUCGUGGCUGGUGUACUAGCCGGUGGCUUAGGUGAGAUCUCUGCUUGCCACCUCGUGGCUGGCAGUGGCGCAUCAUCGACCGACCUAUUCUACUCCUAGAAAGGUUUGAGUAAGAGCGUACAUGAUGGGACCCGAAAGAUGGUGAACUAUGCCUGAGUAGGGUGAAGCCAGAGGAAACUCUGGUGGAAGCUCGUAGCGAUUCUGACGUGCAAAUCGAUCGU
rnacentral:rRNA from 1 species